rnacentral:rRNA from 1 species
AAACUCAAAGGGAAUAGACGGGNACCCGCACAAGCGGUGGAGCAUGUGGUUUAAUUCGAAGAUACGCGAAGAACCUUACCUGGCCUUGACAUCCCGCGAACCCUGCAGAGAUGCGGGGGUGCUACUGUUUGGUAGAGCGCGGAGACAGGUGCUGCACGGCUGUCGUCAGCUCGUGUCGUGAGAUGUUGGGUUAAGUCCCGCAACGAGCGCAACCCUCGCCCUUAGUUGCUAGCGGUUAGGCCGAGCACUCUAAGGGGACUGCCCGGGCAACCGGGAGGAAGGUGAGGAUGACGUCAAGUCAUCAUGGCCCUUACGGCCAGGGCGACACACGUGCUACAAUGGGGAGGACAGAGAGAGGCGAUACCGCGAGGUGGAGCAAAUCUCAAAACCUCUUCUCAGUUCGGAUUGCAGUCUGCAACUCGACUGCAUGAAGCUGGAAUCGCUAGUAAUCGCGGAUCAGCCAUGCCGCGGUGAAUACGUUCCCGGGUCUUGUACUCACCGCUCCGUCACACCAUGGGAGUUGUUCUCACCCGAAGCCGGGAUGCCAAAGAGGCUACCGUCCACGGUGGGGGCAGCGAUCUGGGGUGAAGUCGUUAACAAGGUAACC